AGAGCUAGGAAUGGGACCCAGAUAUGACUGAUCCUAGUUCUGUUCCAAAACCGUGCUGUAUUAUAUUAAUGUAAGAUAUGUUCUUAUCAUUAUUGAAUCAAGGCAAGUCGCCCACUGCACCUUGGUUCCUGGAUCCAGCAGCCAAAACUUGGGUCUCCCUAAGCACUGCUGACCUAGCGGAGUGGAAGGAAGUUCCCAGGAACCAAGACAGUAGCACUCGGCUCCAUCGUCCCGGGACUGGGAAACACUAGAUCUGUUGGCAGCAGAAGUUGGACUAUAGUCAUUGAAAAGUGCCAGAUGGGUAGAGUCCUUUCUCUAGGAUGUCAGUAUCCCAGAACCCUCUUCUGAGGAAGAGACUCUGUGGGUACCCAGAGUCUCUUCCCCUGCCUCUUCCCUACCCCGCGCCUAGGUCCCCACCCUUCCCUAGUAGAGCUCCGCGGAACGCAGUCCAGGCGGGGCCGGGGCUAGGGACCUUGCCAGGGCUAGUUCUGUGUCGCGCGUCAGAAGCGCUAGAGGUCGUUGCGUGGCGUGGGUGGCUCGGGGAGUGGGUGGCUGAGCGGAGCUGGGGUCCCUGGCCAGAGGCGGAACAAAAUGGGGUCAUGGCCAGGAAGACGCGCUAACGCAGUAAGAGUCACCGAGAGGGCCGGAACUGCCGGAACUGCCGAAGACCCGAGAUGGGAGAGAGUGCAGGCUGGGGAGAGUCUGCAGAGAUUGAUGAUGGCGGAAGAAAGCGCAGAAACAGACAAGGGACACACCCACAGAAACAUAUAUAGAUUGAGAAAGCCGGGUGCGGGUGGGAAGGUGAGGGUGGUCAGAUGAAUCAAGAUAGGUUGGGGGAGAGGGAGAAGGAUCCAGAAAUGGACAGAGAUGAGUCAGAGAAACAGAGACAGAGGACAGACACUGUCAGGGAAGGUAGAGGCAUAGAGAAGAGGGACACAGGGAAAGGAAGAUAUUUAGGGAGGGACUAGGAGAGAAGGAAAGAACAAAAAAUAAUAGUGGGAGUAGAAACAGAAUGGAACAGACAGAAGAGAAGACACCCAGACAGCUGGCUCUUCCCACUGUACACUUUGUCACCUUUCCCCAGGCCUACCCUCUGAAGAGGUCCAAGCAACGGAAGUACUACUACGAAGCUGCCUUUCUGGCCAUCCUUGAGAAAAACAGACAGAUGGCCAAGGAGAGGGGCCUAAUAAGCCCCAGUGAUUUUGCCCAGCUGCAAAAAUACAUGGAAUGUGAGUCUUCCUGUCAGGCCUUCAGUUCGGGAGACCCUGCCCCAGAGAAUCCCUCCUCCUCAUCAUUACACCCCCUGCCCCCAGCUUCCUCAGUGGCUUUGAGCAGUGUGCUGCUCAGAUGUGCCCAUGACUGGAAAUGGGAGGAGUGGGAGAUGGGGAGAUGUCAGAAAAAGAUCCGGAUCUACCACAGUCUAACUGGGCUGCAUUGUGCAAGGUCUCAGCUCUCUACCCACCUUCGCUAUACCUGGACUGCUUGCUCCAGCUCUCAGAGAAGAGGAGUAAAGAGUGGUACUGUUUUGGAGGAUCUGAAAUAUUUUUUCCUCUGUAUUUCUGUGUUUCUUCUUGGAAUUUCUUCAUCUCAUUUGAAUCUUUUUUCCUGCUGGAUUUCUCUGGCAGGAGAACUCAGCUGGACUAAUAAUGCUGUUCUCUUACUCUCUCUACACCCUAGACUCCACCAAAAAGGUCAGUGAUGUCCUAAAGCUCUUCGAGGAUGGCGAGAUGGCUAAAUAUGUCCAAGGAGAUGCCAUUGGGUACGAGGGAUUCCAGCAAUUCCUGAAAAUCUAUCUGGAAGUGGAUAAUGUCCCCAGACACCUAAGCCUGGCACUGUUUCAAUCCUUUGAGACUGGUCACUGCUUAAAUGAGACAAAUGUGACAAAAGAUGUGGUGUGUCUCAGUGAUGUUUCCUGCUACUUUUCCCUUCUGGAGGGUGGUCGGCCAGAAGACAAGUUAGAAUUCACCUUCAAGCUGUACGACACGGACAGAAAUGGGAUCCUGGACAGCUCAGAAGUGGACAAAAUUAUCCUACAGAUGAUGCGAGUGGCUGAAUACCUGGAUUGGGAUGUGUCUGAGCUGAGGCCGAUUCUUCAGGAGAUGAUGAAAGAGAUUGACUAUGAUGGGAGUGGCUCUGUCUCUCAAGCUGAGUGGGUCCGGGCUGGGGCCACCACCGUGCCACUGCUAGUGCUGCUGGGUCUGGAGAUGACUCUGAAGGACGAUGGACAGCACAUGUGGAGGCCCAAGAGGUUCCCCAGACCAGUCUACUGCAAUCUGUGCGAGUCAAGCAUUGGUCUUGGCAAACAGGGACUGAGCUGUAACCUCUGUAAGUACACUGUUCACGACCAGUGUGCCAUGAAAGCCCUGCCUUGUGAAGUCAGCACCUAUGCCAAGUCUCGGAAGGACAUUGGUCCAAUCACAUGUGUGGGUGCGAGGAGGCUGUGAGUCCGGGCGCUGCGACCGCUGUCAGAAAAAGAUCCGGAUCUACCACAGUCUGACGGGGCUGCAUUGUGUAUGGUGCCACCUAGAGAUCCACGAUGACUGCCUGCAAGCGGUGGGCCAUGAGUGUGACUGUGGGCUGCUCCGGGAUCACAUCCUGCCUCCAUCUUCCAUCUAUCCCAGUGUCCUGGCCUCUGGACCGGAUCGUAAAAAUAGCAAAACAAGCCAGAAGACCAUGGAUGAUUUAAAUUUGAGCACCUCUGAGGCUCUGCGGAUUGACCCUGUUCCUAACACCCACCCACUUCUCGUCUUUGUCAAUCCUAAGAGUGGCGGGAAGCAGGGGCAGAGGGUGCUCUGGAAGUUCCAGUAUAUAUUAAACCCUCGACAGGUGUUCAACCUCCUAAAGGAUGGUCCUGAGAUAGGGCUCCGAUUAUUCAAGGAUGUUCCUGUUAGCCGGAUUUUGGUGUGUGGUGGAGACGGCACAGUAGGCUGGAUUCUAGAGACCAUUGACAAAGCUAACUUGCCGGUUUUGCCUCCUGUUGCUGUGUUGCCCCUGGGUACUGGAAAUGAUCUGGCUCGAUGCCUAAGAUGGGGAGGAGGGUAUGAAGGACAGAAUCUGGCAAAGAUCCUCAAGGAUUUAGAGAUGAGUAAAGUGGUACAUAUGGAUCGAUGGUCUGUGGAGGUGAUACCUCAACAAACUGAAGAAAAAAGUGACCCAGUCCCCUUUCAGAUCAUCAAUAACUACUUCUCUAUUGGUGUGGAUGCCUCUAUUGCUCAUCGAUUCCACAUCAUGCGAGAGAAAUAUCCGGAGAAGUUCAACAGCAGAAUGAAGAACAAGCUAUGGUACUUCGAAUUUGCCACAUCUGAAUCCAUCUUCUCAACAUGCAAAAAGCUGGAGGAGUCUUUGACAGUUGAGAUCUGUGGGAAACCGCUGGAUCUGAGCAACCUGUCCCUAGAAGGCAUCGCAGUGCUAAACAUCCCUAGCAUGCAUGGUGGCUCCAACCUCUGGGGUGAUACCAGGAGACCCCAUGGGGAUAUCUAUGGGAUCAACCAGGCCUUAGGUGCUACAGCUAAAGUCAUCACCGACCCUGAUAUCCUGAAAACCUGUGUACCAGACCUAAGUGACAAGAGACUGGAAGUGGUCGGGCUGGAGGGUGCAAUUGAGAUGGGCCAAAUCUAUACCAAGCUCAAGAAUGCCGGACGUCGGCUGGCCAAGUGCUCUGAGAUCACCUUCCACACCACAAAAACCCUUCCCAUGCAAAUUGAUGGAGAACCCUGGAUGCAGACGCCCUGUACAAUCAAGAUCACCCACAAGAACCAGAUGCCCAUGCUCAUGGGCCCACCCCCCCGCUCCACCAAUUUCUUUGGCUUCUUGAGCUAAGGGGGACACCCUUGGCCUCCAAGCCAGCCUUGAACCCACCUCCCUGUCCCUGGACUGUACUCCCAAGGCUCUGUAUAUUGCUGCCACAUACUCCUGCCAGCUUGGGGGAGUGUUCCUUCACCCUCACAGUAUUUAUUAUCCUGCACCACCUCACUGUUCCCCAUGGGCACACACAUACACACACCCCAAAACACAUACAUUGAAAGUGCCUCAUCUGAAUAAAAUGACUUGUGUUUCCCCUUUGGGAUCUGCU
rnacentral:sRNA from 1 species